GCAUUAUCCGUAACAGUGCUUCCGAUAAUGA
rfam:Flavobacteriia bacterium 40-80 scnpilot_p_inoc_scaffold_14, whole genome shotgun sequence.